rnacentral:rRNA from 1 species
CCUACGGGGGGCUGCAGUGGGGAAUAUUGGGCAAUGGGCGAAAGCCUGACCCAGCGACGCCGCGUGGGUGAUGAAGGCCUUCGGGUCGUAAAGCCCUGUCAGGAGGAAAGCGGUACCUCCGAAGGAAGCACCGGCCAAUUCCGUGCCAGCAGCCGCGGUAAGACGGAAGGUGCAAGCGUUGCUCGGAAUCACUGGGCGUAAAGGGUGCGUAGGCGGCUUCUUAAGUCUGGUGUGAAAGCCCAGGGCUCAGCUCUGGAAGUGCACUAGAUACUGGGAAGCUUGAGUACCGGAGGGGAGAGUGGAAUUCCUGGUGUAGCGGUGAAAUGCGUAGAUAUCAGGAGGAAUACCGGUGGCGAAAGCGACUCUCUGGACGGUACUGACGCUGAGGCACGAAAGCGUGGGGAGCAAACAGGAUUAGAUACCCUUGUAGUC